GACGAACGCUGGCGGCGUGCUUAACACAUGCAAGUCGAACGGAAAGGCCCUGCUUUUGUGGGGUGCUCGAGUGGCGAACGGGUGAGUAACACGUGAGUAACCUGCCCUUGACUUUGGGAUAACUUCAGGAAACUGGGGCUAAUACCGGAUAGGAGCUCCUGCUGCAUGGUGGGGGUUGGAAAGUUUCGGCGGUUGGGGAUGGACUCGCGGCUUAUCAGCUUGUUGGUGGGGUAGUGGCUUACCAAGGCUUUGACGGGUAGCCGGCCUGGGAGGGUGACCGGCGACAUUGGGACUGAGAUACGGCCCAGACUCCUACGGGGGGCAGCAGUGGGGAAUAUUGCACAAUGGGGGGAAGCCUGAUGCAGCAACGCCGCGUGCGGGAUGACGGCCUUCGGGUUGUAAACCGCUUUCGCCUGUGACGAAGCGUGAGUGACGGUAAUGGGUAAAGAAGCACCGGCUAACUACGUG
rnacentral:rRNA from 1 species